AUGGAAUUGUCGGAUGAUUAUAUUGUAUGCCCAAAAUGAAUAUUACAAGGAAGCAAAGCGUAACAGUGUUUUCAAAUUACCUGGGGACCGAGGGCAGGAAGAACAACCCAGUGAGGAGGCCAGAGCGAAGGAAACAUCAUUCCGCGUCAGUUAUCUGGAUCAUUCUACAGCCCGAGCAUGCUGCGGUCAGCUCUGAUGCUGUAAAGUAGGACCAGAGCAGGGGGGCUUUAAGAAGCUUGAAACAGAAGCCCUCUUCUGCUUGCCUCCCACUUCCUAACAAGGAAGGCGUCCCUCGCCGGGCCUGGAAGACCUAGAAAGCUCUGUGCAUCCCGCGUGAUUCAUGGUCACUCCGCCAUCUGGAGCCCGAAGGCCAUGCGACUCACUGAAAUCCUCCCGGGAUCCCAUCGGCUUCCGCCUUUCAGGGACAAACACGCAAGGAGAACCCCGAUGGGCACCUGGGGUUCAUCCUGCCUGCUUUCUGUCCUACUCAGAGCCAGCGCCGCUCCGGGGCGGGGCGGGGUGGCAGGAAGGGACUUGGCAGGGACCUCGGGGUUUCCAUGCAUGGGGCCGCCCCAGCUUGGCUGCUGCCUACCGCUGGGCUGGAUUUCUUGGCCCACGCACUGGGGAUUAAACACAUAAUAACCUCUA